ACCACAGAUAGUCAGCAGGUGGUACUUGCCAUGUAUGACCUUGCGUUACAUCUGUGGCAGAGGAAUCUCAGUAAUGGAGGCAGCCAUGUUGAUCUGUUCUGGGUCUCUGGUUGUUUUCCAUGCUGAGAGAGUUCUUGAGAGUUGGUCAGAUCCUUGUGUGGUUCUGGUCAUAGUUAUUUGAACUAACAUG